rnacentral:rRNA from 1 species
UGUAAAUGUAAAAUUUUUAAACCAGGGUAGUAAUAGUUAAGUUCUUGAAACCCAAAGAAUUUGGCGGUAUUUUAGUCCUUUCAGAGGAAUCUGUUCCAUAAUCGACAGUCCACGAGAGAAUUUACUUAUUCUUGUAUUUCAGUUUGUAUACCUCCGUCAUAAGAAGAUCUUUUUAGAGAUGAAAUUUUCUUGAUAUAUCAAUUAUAAGAUGUCAGGUCAAGGUGCAAUUUAUGAAUAAGAGGAGAUGGAUUACAAUAAAUUUAUUUACACGGAUUAAAUUAUUUGAUUUUUUUAUGAAGGUGGAUUUGAUAGUAAUUUUGAUUAUUUGUUAUUAUGAUUUUGGCUCUAAAAUAUGC